ACACUCCUACGGGAGGCAGCAGUGGGGAAUUUUGGACAAUGGGCGAAAGCCUGAUCCAGCAAUGCCGCGUGUGUGAAGAAGGCCUUCGGGUUGUAAAGCACUUUUGUCCGGAAAGAAAUCCUUGGCUCUAAUACAGUCGGGGGAUGACGGUACCGGAAGAAUAAGCACCGGCUAACUACGUGCCAGCAGCCGCGGUAAUACGUAGGGUGCGAGCGUUAAUCGGAAUUACUGGGCGUAAAGCGUGCGCAGGCGGUUUGCUAAGACCGAUGUGAAAUCCCCGGGCUCAACCUGGGAACUGCAUUGGUGACUGGCAGGCUAGAGUAUGGCAGAGGGGGGUAGAAUUCCACGUGUAGCAGUGAAAUGCGUAGAGAUGUGGAGGAAUACCGAUGGCGAAGGCAGCCCCCUGGGCCAAUACUGACGCUCAUGCACGAAAGCGUGGGGAGCAAACAGGAUUAGAUACCCGAGUAGUCCCA
rnacentral:rRNA from 1 species